rnacentral:rRNA from 1 species
GACGUAGGGGGCCAGCGUUGUUCGGAAUUACUGGGUGUAAAGGGUUCGUAGGCGGUGCGGCAAGUUGGGAGUGAAAUCUCUGGGCUUAACCCAGAGGCUGCUUCCAAAACUGCUGUGCUUGAGUGUGGGAAAGGCGCGUGGAAUUGCAGGUGUAGCGGUGAAAUGCGUAGAUAUCUGCAGGAACACCCGUGGCGAAAGCGGCGCGCUGGACCACUACUGACGCUGAGGAACGAAAGCUAGGGGAGCAAACAGG